rnacentral:lncRNA from 1 species
CUAAUGCUUUUUGUCGUAGUGAGUGGAGUGGGGAGUUCAGCAUGGCCCCUGAAUUGCCUGCCACCUGCAGUGUCACUGGAGGAAGUGGAGCAGGAGAAACGGCCACGGAUCCUUCCGGAGGAGCUUUUACCUCACCAAAGCUUUAUGAGGCUGAAGGCAGGCAAUUUAUCCUCUCAUCUGACCAGGUUUUUGUGCAAGGAAGAAAGGCUUCUCUGUUCAUAAAUACAAACUCUUCCCCUCAGCCCAUUGGAGUACCUGUUUUAUUCUGUGGAACGAAGUGUUGGCCAGAUUCUGGUUCCCAUUGUCUGCCAGACCCUGCUCUUGCUAAUGGGAGGAACUCUAAUUGAGCUGUCAGGAGAACCUUUUGUGGAAGGAAUGAACUCACCCCUCAUUCAAGGUUGUGCCGUUAGGAAGCCGUGAUGCCAGGACAGAACUCAGCCCUGCCUGCCCCUGUCCUUCUCAUCCAUCCUGCUGUGUCUUUCUCACAUUCAAGGGCCUUACAACCAAUGGUAAGUGCAAUUAUUAUGCCCUCUUAGCCUACAGAGAGCUGCCCACAGGGUGCCCUAGGAAGCCCAGGUAG